UGGGGAAUUUUGGACAAUGGGCGCAAGCCUGAUCCAGCCAUACCGCGUGCGGGAAGAAGGCCUUCGGGUUGUAAACCGCUUUUGUCAGGGAAGAAAUCUUCUGGGCUAAUACCUCGGGAGGAUGACGGUACCUGAAGAAUAAGCACCGGCUAACUACGUGCCAGCAGCCGCGGUAAUACGUAGGGUGCAAGCGUUAAUCGGAAUUACUGGGCGUAAAGCGUGCGCAGGCGGUUCCAUAAGACAGAUGUGAAAUCCCCGGGCUCAACCUGGGAACUGCAUUUGUGACUGUGGGGCUAGAGUACGGUAGAGGGGGAUGGAAUUCCGCGUGUAGCAGUGAAAUGCGUAGAUAUGCGGAGGAACACCAAUGGCGAAGGCAAUCCCCUGGACCUGUACUGACGCUCAUGCACGAAAGCGUGGGGAGCAAACAG
rnacentral:rRNA from 1 species